GAGGAGCUAGAUAGCAAGGCGAGUGGGCCACGUGGCCAGGUUUCAUCCCAGGGAAGAUUCAUCAUUCGCCGUUGGCUUGCGCUUGCAGGUGUGGUGGUCGCGUCCGUCGUGGGUUGGAUUAGAGGGGAGACCAUGUCCAUGUCCAUAUAUGGUUGGACCUAGAGUUAGUGAACCACUCUACCGCGUGUACAGGGCCGAAUUAGCUGCCCCCCUGAGUUGGGCAUUGGGCCCUGGACAUGAACUACGGGCAGAGCCGGCGAGGUGAUUUUUUUGGCAAAGGGCAAACCAAUUUUGUCAAUUUAUUAAGAGCGUAUAUGUGUUUU
rnacentral:lncRNA from 1 species